rnacentral:rRNA from 1 species
GAUGAACGCUGGCGGCGUGCCUAAUACAUGCAAGUCGAGCGAACAGACGAGGCGCUUGCUCCUCUGACGUUAGCGGCGGACGGGUGAGUAACACGUGGAUAACCUACCUAUAAGACUGGGAUAACUUCGGGAAACCGGAGCUAAUACCGGAUAAUAUAUUGAACCGCAUGGUUCAAUAGUGAAAGACGGUUUUGCUGUCACUUAUAGAUGGAUCCGCGCCGCAUUAGCUAGUUGGUAAGGUAACGGCCUACCAAGGCAACGAUGCGUAGCCGACCUGAGAGGGUGAUAGGCCACACUGGAACUGAGACACGGUCAAGACUCCUAAGAGAGGCAGCAGUAGGGAAUCUUACGCAAUGGGCGAAAGCCUGACGGAGCAACGCCGCGUGAGUGAUGAAGGUCUUCGGAUCGUAAAACUCUGUUAUUAGGGAAGAACAAAUGUGUAAGUAACUAUGCACGUCUUGACGGUACCUAAUCAGAAAGCCACGGCUAACUACGUG